rnacentral:rRNA from 1 species
UACGAGGGGUGCAAGCGUUGCUCGGAAUUAUUGGGCGUAAAGGGUUGGUAGGUGGUCUUGUUUGUCUAGGGUGAAAUCCCAUGGCUUAACUGUGGAAGUGCCCUAGAAACGGCAAGACUAGAGUCCUAGAGGGGUUCGUGGAAUUCCCGGUGUAGCGGUGAAAUGCGUAGAUAUUGGGAGGAACACCAGUGGCGAAGGCGGCUCACUGGACCGGAACUGACGCUGAGGCGCGAAAGCUAGGGGAGCAAACGGG